UACGAAGGGGGCGAGCGUUGUUCGGAUUUACUGGGCGUAAAGGGCGCGCAGGCGGUUCUGUUUGUCGAGUGUGAAAGCCCCGGGCUCAACCUGGGAACUGCGCUCGAAACGGCGGAACUAGAGUUCGGGAGAGGAGAGUGGAAUUCCCAGUGUAGAGGUGAAAUUCGUAGAUAUUGGGAGGAACACCAGUGGCGAAGGCGGCUCACUGGACCGGUACUGACGCUGAUGCGCGAAAGCGUGGGGAGCAAACGGG
rnacentral:rRNA from 1 species